UACGAAGGGGGCUAGCGUUGCUCGGAAUCACUGGGCGUAAAGGGUGCGUAGGCGGGUCGUUAAGUCAGGGGUGAAAUCCUGGAGCUCAACUCCAGAACUGCCUUCGAUACUGGAAAUCUCGAGUCCGGGAGAGGUGAGUGGAACUCCGGGUGUAGAGGUGAAAUUCGUAGAUAUUCGGAAGAACACCAGUGGCGAAGGCGGCUCACUGGCCCGGUACUGACGCUGAGGUGCGAAAGCGUGGGGAGCAAACAGG
rnacentral:rRNA from 1 species